GCGUCUCCGUUAAUGAUUUUAGGUGCUUGCAUUUGAAACCUUUAACAUUGAGACGAGUGGCGAACUGGUGAGUAACACGUGGUUAACCUGCCCUUGAAGUAGGGGAUAACACUUGGAAACAGGUGCUAAUACCGUAUAACAACCAAAACCACCUGGUUUUGGUUUAAAAGACGGCUUCGGCUGUCACUUUAGGAUGGACCCGCGGCGUAUUAGCUUGUUGGUAAGGUAACGGCCUACCAAGGCGAUGAUACGUAGCCGACCUGAGAGGGUAAUCGGCCACAUUGGGACUGAGACACGGCCCAAACUCCUACGGGAGGCAGCAGUAGGGAAUCUUCCACAAUGGACGAAAGUCUGAUGGAGCAACGCCGCGUGAGUGAUGAAGGGUUUCGGCUCGUAAAACUCUGUUGUUGGAGAAGAACAGGUGUCAGAGUAACUGUUGACAUCUUGACGGUAUCCAACCAGAAAGCCACGGCUAACUACGUGCCAGCAGCCGCGGUAAUACGUAGGUGGCAAGCGUUGUCCGGAUUUAUUGGGCGUAAAGCGAGCGCAGGCGGUUUUUUAGGUCUGAUGUGAAAGCCUUCGGCUUAACCGGAGAAGUGCAUCGGAAACCGGGAGACUUGAGUGCAGAAGAGGACAGUGGAACUCCAUGUGUAGCGGUGAAAUGCGUAGAUAUAUGGAAGAACACCAGUGGCGAAGGCGGCUGUCUGGUCUGUAACUGACGCUGAGGCUCGAAAGCAUGGGUAGCGAACAGGAUUAGAUACCCUGGUAGUCCAUGCCGUAAACGAUGAGUGCUAAGUGUUGGAGGGUUU
rnacentral:rRNA from 1 species